rnacentral:misc_RNA from 1 species
AAGUCGUAACAAGGUUUCCGUAGGUGAACCUGCGGAAGGAUCAUUAACGAAUAACUAUGGUGUCUUGGUUGUAGCUGGCUCCUCGGAGCAAUGUGCACGCCCGCCAUUUUUAUCUUUCCACCUGUGCACCGACUGUAGGUCUGGAUACCUCUCGCCCUUCACGGGGCGGAUGCGAGGGUUGCCCGUAACACGGCUCUCCUCGAAUUUCCAGGCUCUACGUCUUUUUACACACCCCAAUAGUAUGAUGCAGAAUGUAGUCAAUGGGCUUCUCAGCCUAUAAAACACUAUACAACUUUCAGCAACGGAUCUCUUGGCUCUC